rnacentral:scRNA from 1 species
GGGGUUGGGGAUUUAGCUCAGUGGUAGAGCGCUUGCCUAGCAAGCGCAAGGCCCUGGGUUCGGUCCUCAGCUCCGAAAAAAA